GACGAACCGUGCGAACGUUGUUCGGAAUCACUGGGCUUAAAGGGCGCGUAGGCGGCUUGCCAAGUCGGGGGUGAAAUCCGGCAGCUUAACUGUCGAAGUGCCUUCGAUACUGGCAAGCUCGAGGGAGGUAGGGGUCUGUGGAACUUCUGGUGGAGCGGUGAAAUGCGUUGAUAUCAGAAGGAACGCCGGUGGCGAAAGCGGCUCUCUGGGACGGUACUGACGCUGAGACGCGAAAGCGUGGGGAGCGAACAGG
rnacentral:rRNA from 1 species